CUUCACAGGUUGUAAGUUUACGAUUUCUCAGUUUCUUUAAAAGCUCAUCACGUACAGAUUUGGAUUUAACUUGAACGAUGAUGAUUUUAGGUUUAUCUUUAUUAAAGCUGGGGACUCUGUGAACGAUGAUCAGAUUUUCGGAUAUAUUAGCAUUCGCAACAUUAUCAAUCUGGAAUAUUACUUGUUGAAUGUCUUCAUUUUCACGUUCGGUUCUAAAGAAAAGUCAAGGAACAACAAAAGGACAAGGUCAACAUCCAGACGAGUUCUCUAGGAUGAAAAUAAAUUGCUUUGGCAGGGAAAUUAGGUUGAAUAUAAGAGACUCAGCGUUGACAGAAUAAUUGCAGAUAUUGAUGAAUCAGUUAUUACACCCUGUUAAGCCUUCUACUUUAUGAUUUUCGUUAUGAGUGAAUUAACAUUGUCUUUAUUUCACGUCUGCUGUGAUGGAUCGGUUGAUUUUUCUAAUUAGAAAAAUAAAAAUUAAAGUAGAAGUUAA